rfam:Heligmosomoides polygyrus genome assembly, scaffold: HPBE_scaffold0000679
GCGCCGGCGGUGUAAAGGCGUAGAGCAUUCCCGCCCGGUCAGAGGGAGGUGCGGGUUCGAGUCCCGCCUGGCGCU